GCCGCGUGAGUGAUGAAGGCCUUCGGGUCGUAAAACUCUGUCCUCAAGGAAGAUAAUGACGGUACUUGAGGAGGAAGCCCCGGCUAACUACGUGCCAGCAGCCGCGGUAAUACGUAGGGGGCUAGCGGUAUCCGGAUUUACUGGGCGUAAAGGGUGCGUAGGCGGUCUUUCAAGUCAGGAGUGAAAGGCUACGGCUCAACCGUAGUAAGCUCUUGAAACUGGGAGACUUGAGUGCAGGAGAG
rnacentral:rRNA from 1 species